rnacentral:rRNA from 1 species
GGCAGCAGUGGGGAAUAUUGCACAAUGGGGGAAACCCUGAUGCAGCCAUGCCGCGUGUGUGAAGAAGGCCUUCGGGUUGUAAAGCACUUUCAGUAGGGAGGAAGGUAGUGUAGUUAACACCUGCAUUAUUUGACGUUACCUACAGAAGAAGCACCGGCUAACUCCGUGCCAGCAGCCGCGGUAAUACGGAGGGUGCGAGCGUUAAUCGGAAUUACUGGGCGUAAAGCGCAUGCAGGUGGUUUGUUAAGUCAGAUGUGAAAGCCCGGGGCUCAACCUCGGAACUGCAUUUGAAACUGGCAGACUAGAGUACUGUAGAGGGGGUAGAAUUUCAGGUGUAGCGGUGAAAUGCGUAGAGAUCUGAAGGAAUACCGGUGGCGAAGGCGGCCCCCUGGACAGAUACUGACACUCAGAUGCGAAAGCGUGGGGAGCAAACAGGAUUAGAUACCCUGGUAG